CCUUCGGGAGCUUGUACAGGUGCUGCAUGGCUGUCGUCAGCUCGUGUCGUGAGAUGUUCGGUUAAGUCCGCUAACGAGCGCAACCCUCGCUGUGUGUUACAAGUGUCACACGGAACUGCCGGUCAUAAACCGGAGGAAGGUGGGAUGACGUCAAGUCAGCAUGGCCUUUAUAUCCUGGGCUACACACACGCUACAAUGGGAAGGGACAAUAGGUUGCGAAGCCGCGAGGCGGAGCCAAUCCAGCAAAACUUCCCUCAGUUCAGAUUGCAGGCUGCAACCCGCCUGCAUGAAGUUGGAGUUGCUAGUAAACGCAGGUCAGCCAUACUGCGUUGAAUACGUUCCCGGGGCUU
rnacentral:rRNA from 1 species